rnacentral:rRNA from 1 species
ACGGAGGGGGCUAGCGUUGUUCGGAAUUACUGGGCGUAAAGGGCGCGUAGGCGGUUUGGUAAGUUAGGCGUGAAAGGCCCGGGCUCAACCCGGGAACUGCGCUUAAGACUGCCGGGCUGUGAGUCCGGGAGAGGAUGGCGGAAUUCCCAGUGUAGAGGUGAAAUUCGUAGAUAUUGGGAAGAACACCAGUGGCGAAGGCGACACACUGGGCCUGUCCUGACGCUGAGACGCGAGAGCGUGGGGAGCAAACAG